UACGUAGGGUGCAGGCGUUAAUCGGAAUUACUGGGCGUAAAGCGUGCGCAGGCGGUUUGCUAAGACAGGUGUGAAAUCCCCGGGCUUAACCUGGGAACUGCGCUUGUAACUGGCAAGCUAGAGUGUGGCAGAGGGGGGUGGAAUUCCACGUGUAGCAGUGAAAUGCGUAGAGAUGUGGAGGAACACCGAUGGCGAAGGCAGCCCCCUGGGCUAACACUGACGCUCAGGUGCGAAAGCGUGGGGAGCAAACAGG
rnacentral:rRNA from 1 species